CUCCAAGCCAGCCAGCACAACCUUGCCAACAGGGCCCAAACAAGCAGUCCGAGCGUCGACAUCCCUUAUCACGGGAUAUUCCUGCUUCCGGUGCACCUAGACUGAACGAGCGGUUAUCCCGGGCACCAUUAACAGUUCCGGAAGAAGUAGAUCCCCCAACUCUUACUUUAGAUGACUUGUUCAUGAAAACCAAAUCCACCCCCAGAAUCUAUUACUUACCAUUAACUGAAGAACAAGUUGCUGCAAAGGUGCAAAAGAAAGAUUGAUGAAGGCAU
rnacentral:lncRNA from 1 species